rnacentral:rRNA from 1 species
AGUGAACGCUGGCGGUAGGCCUAACACAUGCAAGUCGAACGGCAGCACAGUAAGAGCUUGCUCUUACGGGUGGCGAGUGGCGGACGGGUGAGGAAUACAUCGGAAUCUACUUUUUCGUGGGGGAUAACGUAGGGAAACUUACGCUAAUACCGCAUACGACCUACGGGUGAAAGCAGGGGAUCUUCGGACCUUGCGCGAUUGAAUGAGCCGAUGUCGGAUUAGCUAGUUGGCGGGGUAAAGGCCCACCAAGGCGACGAUCCGUAGCUGGUCUGAGAGGAUGGUCAGCCAAACUGGAACUGGGACACGGUCCAGACUCCUACGGGAGGCAGCAGUGGGGAAUAUUGGACAAUGGGGGCAAGCCUGAUCCAGCCAUACCGCGUGGGGGAAGAAGGCCUUCGGGUUGUAAAGCCCUUUUGUUGGGAAAGAAAAGCAGCAGGUUAAUACCCCGCUGUUCUGACGGUACCCAAAGAAUAAGCACCGGCUAACUUCGUGC